rnacentral:rRNA from 1 species
GCUAGUCACUGCAGUAAUACAGUUUACACAUUAAAGUUACCGCCUGGGGAGUACGGUCGCAAGAUUAAAACUCAAAGGAAUAGACGGGGACCCGCACAAGCGGUGGAGCAUGUGGUUUAAUUCGAAGAUACGCGAAAAACCUUACCUGGCCUUGACAUUGAUAGAAUCCUGUAGAGAUACGGGAGUGCCGGCUUGCCGGAACUUGAAAACAGGUGCUGCACGGCUGUCGUCAGCUCGUGUCGUGAGAUGUUGGGUUAAGUCCCGCAACGAGCGCAACCCACGUCCUUAGUUGCCAGCAUUUCGGAUGGGAACUCUAAGGAGACUGCCUUCGCAAGGAGGAGGAAGGUGUGGACGACGUCAAGUCAUCAUGGCCCUUACGGCCAGGGCUACACACGUGCUACAAUGGGGCGUACAAAGAGCAGCAAUACCGCGAGGUGGAGCAAAUCUCAAAAACGCCUCCCAGUUCAGAUUGCACUCUGCAACUCGAGUGCAUGAAGUUGGAAUCGCUAGUAAUCGUAGAUCAGCAUUGCUACGGUGAUACGUUCCCGGGUCUUGUACUCACCGCCCGUCACACCAUGGGAGUUGAUUUCACCCGAAGCGGGGAUGNUAAAGUAGCUACCUUUCACGGUGGAAUCAGCGACUGGGGUGAAGU